rnacentral:rRNA from 1 species
GAUGAACGCUAGCUACAGGCUUAACACAUGCAAGUCGAGGGGCAGCAGGGAUUUAGCUUGCUAAAUCCGCUGGCGACCGGCGCACGGGUGCGUAACGCGUAUCCAACUUUCCCGUUACUCAGGGAUAGCCUUCCGAAAGGGAGAUUAAUACCUGAUGGUGUUCAAAUUCCGCAUGUUAUUUGAACUAAAGAUUCAUCGGUAACGGAUGGGGAUGCGUGACAUUAGAUAGUAGGCGGGGUAACGGCCCACCUAGUCUACGAUGUCUAGGGGUUCUGAGAGGAAGGUCCCCCACACUGGAACUGAGACACGGUCCAGACUCCUACGGGAGGCAGCAGUGAGGAAUAUUGGUCAAUGGUCGGAAGACUGAACCAGCCAAGUAGCGUGAAGGAUGAAGGUUCUAUGGAUUGUAAACUUCUUUUAUACGGGAAUAAAACCUCCCACGUGUGGGAGCUUGUAUGUACCGUAUGAAUAAGCAUCGGCUAACUCCGUG